rnacentral:lncRNA from 1 species
GGCCCACCAGGUGUAUCAGGAUAUCCAGGAAACCCAGGUCUUCCUGUAUGUAUGAAGCAUAUAUUUAUUUACAAAGAACCCCACGGUUUUACUAGUGACAUCAGGUGAGGAUUAAUAUAGCAUUUAUUACUUUUCUGCUUUCUCCUAUUGGCAGGGCAUCCCUGGACAAGAUGGCCCACCAGGUCCACCUGGUAUCCCAGGUUGCAAUGGCACAAAGGGUGAAAUAGGUCCUGUUGGUCCUCCAGGUUUACCUGGAUUGGUUGGGUUAAUAGGACCUCCAGGAUCUCCUGGAAUUAAGGGAGACCCAGGUGAAGUGAUUGGGUUUUUACCAUCAAAUGUGCUAAAAGGUGAAAAAGGUUAUCCUGGCCUCCCUGGGCUACCAGGUAUGCAAGGAUUGCAAGGGCUCCAAGGCCCCAUCGGGCCACCAGGGAUUUCAGGAGUUCCAGGUCCCCCAGGCCCACGGGGUGAUCCGGGUGAGAAGGGUCAGAUGGGCUUGAGUUUUCAAGGACCAAAAGGUGAUAAGGGUGAACAAGGAGAGCUGGGCACACCAGGACCUGCCUCAUAUGACAGCAAGAAAGAGUACAUUCUCAUAAAUGGAACGACGGUGAGAAAAUAUUACUUAGUCCUUACAAUAUUGGACUCCUAGUUUCUUUGUUUAAAGACUGUGGGGAAAAGGUUACUAAAGAAAGACCGAGAAACCAGUGUUAUAAGCAAUCUAAUGCCAAUUAUGCAAACUUGGUCCAUGUUUUAACUGUCCUAAAUAAAGUUUAAUGCUCUUCCUGUAAGUAUCUGAAG